GCACCCAUGGUUUAGUUGGCUAUAACAUCUGCUUAACAUUUUCGACAGCGAUGUCGGAAUUAACUCGCAGAAGGUCUCCAGUUCAAUCCUGGAUGGGUGUA